GUGAACUACCGCUGAGCUGAAGACUCAGCAGAUUCUUCGGAGGCUUGAGUCUUCAGUUUGGUAGCUUCGUGAGAAGCUUGAGUUCACCAGACUCAGCCCCAGAAAUGGGAGCUACGUUCGAUAGGUCAUGACACCUGCGGUUGACGCAUCAGACCGCUGCUCUGUCGCCUGGGUUUAAGUAGGACUGAGGCAAGGUCCGGUGAUUCAGGUGCAAAAAGCCUUUGAACAUUGUCGAGAUGAAGCCGGA
rfam:Ktedonobacter racemifer DSM 44963 strain SOSP1-21 Krac_Contig206, whole genome shotgun sequence.